rnacentral:lncRNA from 1 species
AGAGAAAAUUAUAAAAAAAUAGCAAAUCAUAAAAUAAAAAAUAUUAAAAAUCAUUUUUGGAAACUAGAAAUUAAAGAGAAAUAAUGCAAUUGGUUCCAUAAUUUUUGGACCAAUAAUGAAAGAGAUAUGAAUUUUAGAAAAUGAAGUGGAAUUAAAAAAUGAAAUGAAAAUAAAAAUCAGAAUUAAAAUAAAUGGAAAAGCGUGAGCCCUUGGAUCUGAGCUCAUUAAUUGAGCUGGCAGAUCCAAGCAUCCACAAGCGUG